rnacentral:rRNA from 1 species
GUGGGGAAUAUUGCACAAUGGGGGAAACCCUGAUGCAGCGACGCCGCGUGAGUGAAGAAGUAUUUCGGUAUGUAAAGCUCUAUCAGCAGGGAAGAAAUUGACGGUACCUGACUAAGAAGCCCCGGCUAACUACGUGCCAGCAGCCGCGGUAAUACGUAGGGGGCAAGCGUUAUCCGGAUUUACUGGGUGUAAAGGGAGCGUAGACGGCAUGGCAAGUCAGAUGUGAAAACCCGGGGCUUAACCCCGGGAUUGCAUUUGAAACUGUCAGGCUGGAGUGCGGGAGAGGUAAGUGGAAUUCCUAGUGUAGCGGUGAAAUGCGUAGAUAUUAGGAGGAACACCAGUGGCGAAGGCGGCUUACUGGACCGUAACUGACGUUGAGGCUCGAAAGCGUGGGGAGCAAACAGGAUUAGAAACCCCUGUAGUCC